rnacentral:snRNA from 1 species
UUGAGCGUUCCAACCAAUUACAUU